GGCUCAGAUGUCAUUAUUGCAUUAUGGACGCCCUGCAUUAUUGAUCUCAGGAGCCUCUGGCUCCUCCUUGCUCUGUUCCCAGCUCCUGGCCCUCCUUUUCUCUCCAGGAGCAGCAGGAGAGGAGGGGAAACGUCAGCCCUGGCCCCCUACCCCAUGGAGCAGGCAGCUACACCCGGGGGCCUAGGGCUCCCUUGCAGCCCCCAGCAGGCCUUGGUGCUGUACCAGCACCUCUUCAGGUGCCCCGCAGACCUGGGCCAGCUCCAGGUUGCCCUGCAGCAGGUACAAGAGGGCCAAGCCUGCUGCUCAGGCUUGGAACUACCCACUGCCCUGCUGCAGAUGGAGCGGAGGCGGCGGGCCCAGGAGCAGGUAGGGGCCGGGGUGGUGGUGGCAAGGGUAGCGUGGGUGACCCCUGACAUCCUGGCACCCUAUCUUCCUACAGCUCCUGUGGGACUUGGAGCUGCUGACUGGGGCGGGGCUGGGCCUCUUCUGGCCCCCCUGGGCCCAGUUCUGCGGUCUGAGGGGCCAGGCCCAGGGUGCAGGGAGCCAGUGCAGCAGGCUCCGCAGGAGGAUGGAAAGCGCUGAGCGGCUGAUGAGAGAGAAUUGCAGGCAGUGCCCAUCAUCCCAGGCUGAGGACUCCCUGAGCCAGAGCCAUCAGCUCCUGGGGGGGGGGAAAGUAGUGGCCCCAUCAUCAGCCCUGGAUCUGGGUGAAGCCAGGAGUGAUACGGAUGCAAGGCCUGAGAGCCCCAGCAUGCCUGCAGAAGAGCCCACACCAGGUUGCUUACAAGAGCUGAACCCCACCACCAGCAGUUGCUUUGGGGAACCAGGAAAUGCAGAGUUCAAGGACCUGGCCCAGAGGGAAGAGAGGGGGCAGGCAGAGCCCAUGCCCCAGAGGCCCCAUCCACCAUCACCCAGAAGCCCACAGGAGGAACAGCUUGCUCAGGGAGCCCCAGGGCCUUCAGCCCUCCCCUCCCAGGGCCUGCUGGAACCCCAGGAUUCCCCAGAGGCACAGGGCUGGAGCCUGAGUCCGGAGAGAGCAGAACUUCAGAAAGUGCUAAGGACUGAGAUUCCUCAGGGUCAGAGAGGGGAGGCCCUCCAGGGGGAGGACGAAGAAGUUCCUCAGAGGAAGAGAGAGAAGACACACCAGGAUCAGAGCCGGGAGGCCACUCCGGCCCCGAGGGAAGAGGUCCCUGAAGGUCCAAGGACAGAGGCGCCUCAAGGUCAAAGCGGAAGUCGCGCUAAGUGCUGGAGAAAGGACGCCCUCCAGGAGGCCCGGGAGGAUUCUCCCAAUCCCAAGGGCCUUCCGUCUUCCGAGGGCCGAGGCCGUGUCCCCCAAGCCUGGGAGGUGGCUGGGGGAGAAGGGGAGGAAGGCGGCUCCCUGAGAAUUGGGGGGCACUUCUGCAGGUCUCUGGGAGAACAGAUGCCCCGGCCCGGGGGAAAGACCGCUCAGCUGAUGCCGGUUAAGACCGAUGACCAGAAAGCAGAGACCACACCGGCCGCGGGAGAGCAGGGGCCCGCCGGGGAGGGAGCGCGAGCUCGCCUUCCGUCCGCGACCAGGUCUCCGCUCGCAGGCGCGGGAGCCGGGAUGCUAGCGGCCCC
rnacentral:lncRNA from 1 species